rnacentral:tmRNA from 1 species
GGGGCUGAUUUUGGAUUUGACGAGAUUUUCAAAAUCUGAAGCGCAUGUCGAGGUACGGUAGGCCUCGUUAAUAAACCGUAAAUAAAUAGUCGCAAACGACAAAAACUACGCUUUAGCAGCCUAAUAAGUUUCUAGGGCCCUUUCUACCUGAUUUUGCUCUUGGAAAUAGGAAAUAGAAAGGUCAAUAUAUCAAGAGAUCGCACUAAUCAGACUUACCUAAAAAUGAGAAGUGUUAAAAAUAAAAACUUAGGUUAAUUCGAUAUAAGCUUGUCUAACUGCAUUUAUCGAAUGAAAAAAAGUUAGACUAAACAUGUAGAACUUAAGAUGUAGAAGUUUCGGACGCGGGUUCAACUCCCGCCAGCUCCACCA